rnacentral:snRNA from 1 species
GGAUGUGAAGAGAGUCUGGCUGCAACAUCUGUCACCCCAUUGAUUACCAGGGCGGAUUUGACUGAUCUUCUUUCACCACUCCAUGUGCGUCCCUCCAGAAGCUAUGCACUUGUUUGGAGAGGACAACCUUCCAGGAAUAGAGGAGGACAAGCCUUAAGUCAAGGGUAUAUGAGUAGCUAUGCUCCCCUGCUAGAACCUGCAAACAAGCUCUCAAAAUCAGCACACAGAAUCAGUAUCCUUUCUAUAUGAAAAAGGCAAUUAUACAAAGAAAGAAGUCCAUGAGGUUGUCCCGUUUU